CUCAUGCUACUGCUGCUACUGCUAAAAUCCCCCUCACACUCACACCCCUCUCCUAAUCAUCCGCUUAAACCCACGAGCCCGGCAGGCAGGCAGGCAGCCCGGUGCCGAUGGACUCCUCGGGCUCCGCCUCGUCCUACAAGCUGCAGCUCGCCCUCGCGGCACUCGUUGGUGCCUCCGCCGCCGCUUCAGCGGCCUACUACCUGCACUGCCGUGCCGUCGCGCAGGUUGCUCGCUCCGCCUCCACGAGCCGCCGUAGGCCCCGCGCCCCCGCCUCCGCCGCUAGCGGCGGCGGCGGCGGCGGCGUGAAGCUCCCUCCACCGCGCCGCGCUGCCGUCGGCUCAGCCUCGCUUCCCGACCUCUCUGCGUUCUAUGAUGUCGGCAGCCGCGGCGGCGGCGGGCUCGCCGCCGGCGGGUACCUCGUGGAGGAGGAGGAGGACGACGAUGCGGAUGGGGUCGUGGGCCCGCACGUGAACGGUGGCGCGCUCGACCCCGCGGAGUUCCUUCAGAUACCCCAGGGCUUGCCUAGACUGCACGUGGGCCCCGACGGCAGUAAACAACUUGCCCGGUCAGGUUCAAAUAGACGGGUUGAAAUAAUUAGACCUAAGUCACCCAAGUCUCCUGCUGCCAGUGCAAGUGAAGAUGGAUCAGAUGAGGAUGAUUCUAUACAAAGUAGUGGUAAACUUGACAAUGGCUACAUGGACACAAGUGGAAACCUGGAAGGAGAACACAAAGGAAAUGCAAUUGUGGAAAAUGGGGCUGCCAAGCCAUUAGCUGCAGCAAACUUGAUACGGUCACGCAGUAAAUCCAAUAAUCUUCAUGCAGUUCAACCUGACCCAGUUGCUGCAGAUAUUCUACGAAAAGAACCUCAGCAAGAAUCAUUUGUCAAGCUGCUAACUACUCCAAAGGAGAUUCCGACUGCUGAUGAAAUUGAGGUGUUCAAAAUCCUUCAGAAGUGCCUCGAGUUAAGAGACUCUUAUCUCUUUAGAGAGGAGGUUGCUCCAUGGGAGAAGGAGGUCAUAAAUGACCCCUGUACUCCAAAACCUAACCCCAACCCGUUCACUUAUGUGCCUGAACCAAAGUCAGAGCAUGUUUUCCAAACUGUUGAUGGCGUUAUCCAUGUUUAUGCGGAUAAAGAUUGUACGGAGAGCAUUUAUCCUGUGGCUGAUGCUACAACCUUCUUCACUGACUUGCAUUAUAUUCUCCGAGUAACGGCUGCAGGGAACACAAGAACUGUCUGCCAUAAUCGGUUAAAUCUUCUUGAGCAUAAGUUUAAAUUCCAUCUGAUGUUAAAUGCGGAUAGGGAAUUUCUUGCCCAGAAGACUGCCCCACAUCGUGAUUUUUACAAUGUCAGGAAGGUUGACACUCAUGUUCAUCAUUCAGCAUGCAUGAAUCAAAAACAUCUGUUGAGGUUCAUAAAAUCCAAACUAAGAAAAGAACCUGAUGAGGUGGUCAUUUUCAGAGAUGGUACUUAUAUGACUUUAAAAGAGGUUUUUGAGAGCUUGGACUUAACUGGGUAUGAUCUGAAUGUUGAUUUGCUAGAUGUCCAUGCAGACAAAAGCACAUUUCAUCGUUUUGACAAAUUCAAUCUAAAAUACAAUCCAUGUGGCCAAAGUAGGCUCAGAGAAAUUUUCCUCAAACAAGAUAAUCUUAUUCAAGGCCGUUUUCUUGCUGAGUUGACAAAGCAAGUUUUCUCUGACCUUUCUGCUAGCAAAUAUCAGAUGGCAGAAUAUAGGAUUUCAAUCUACGGAAGGAAACAGAGUGAAUGGGACCAACUUGCAAGUUGGAUAGUGAACAAUGAAUUGCACAGUGGAAAUGUUGUCUGGCUGGUUCAGAUUCCACGCUUAUAUAAUGUGUACAAGGAAAUGGGUAUCGUUACAUCAUUCCAAAAUCUUCUUGACAACAUUUUCGUUCCUCUUUUUGAGGUUACUAUUGAUCCAGCUUCACACCCACAGCUCCAUGUCUUCCUGAAGCAGGUUGUAGGGUUGGACCUGGUUGAUGAUGAAAGUAAACCAGAAAGGCGUCCAACAAAGCACAUGCCCACACCUGAACAGUGGACCAAUGUGUUCAACCCUGCAUUUUCAUAUUAUGCGUACUACUGCUAUGCUAACUUAUUCACCCUAAACAAGCUGCGUGAGUCAAAGGGAAUGACCACUAUCAAAUUCCGUCCACAUGCUGGAGAGGCUGGAGAUGUUGAUCACUUGGCAGCGACAUUUCUUCUCUGUCACAACAUAUCACAUGGAAUUAAUCUAAGGAAGUCUCCUGUGCUUCAGUACUUGUACUAUCUUGGUCAGAUUGGUCUGGCGAUGUCCCCAUUGAGCAACAACUCCUUAUUUCUUGACUAUCAUCGCAACCCUUUUCCAACGUUCUUCCAACGAGGUCUGAAUGUCUCAUUAUCUACGGAUGACCCUUUGCAAAUUCACCUGACAAAAGAACCAUUGGUGGAAGAAUACAGCAUUGCUGCUUCGCUGUGGAAGCUCAGUUCUUGUGAUUUAUGCGAAAUUGCGAGGAACUCUGUUUACCAAUCUGGGUUUUCACAUGCUCUCAAGGCGCACUGGAUUGGUAAGAACUACUUCAAAAGAGGACCUGCUGGAAAUGAUAUUCACAGAACCAAUGUACCGCACAUCAGGGUUCAAUUUAGAGAGAUGAUCUGGAGAAAUGAAAUGAAACUAGUGUACUCUGACAAUGAGAUCUUAAUACCAGACGAGCUGGACCUGUAAGAUGUCCAGCCUCGUGUAUACCAGACGAGUUGCGUUGUAGCUGCUAUGGGAAUUAUACUUCAUGUUUUGUUGCUGGAAGUCGGCAAAGUGAUCAAGAGUGUCACCAAGCAUACCAACUACCAAGGGAUGCAAUACUACCUCCAUUCUCGAAUAUUUGCCGUCCGCUAGUUUAUUUUUGAACUAAAACAUGACAAAUAAAAAAGAACGGAGGAAGUAAUACGGCAAAGUGAAGCAACAGAUGCUUGUGUAGGAGUUGUGUUACUAUCUUCAAGGCUUGUGCAAGAGUUGUGUUAAUGUCUCUUACUCACUCUUAUCUCUUAUCUUAAAUCUUACUUUAUAAGUGUUUUUUUUUUGCAUGCUCAUAGCUAGUAUUCCCUGAACACCCCCCCUCCCCUCGAAUUGUAACCAUGUACUCGAAGUGCUUGCACUCUGGUUGGAUCCUAUACGGUGAGUAAGGUGCUAUCGGUUGUUAUGCUGCCCAGAUGAAAUGGAAAUUGAACUAGAUGAAGAGGUUCUGGUUUCA